rnacentral:rRNA from 1 species
GUGGGGAAUAUUGGACAAUGGGGGCAACCCUGAUCCAGCAAUGCCGCGUGUGUGAAGAAGGCCUGCGGGUUGUAAAGCACUUUCGUUGGGGAGGAGAUGGUUGACUGGAUAAGAGUCAACUGGAGACGUUACCCAAAGAAGAAGCACCGGCUAACUCUGUGCCAGCAGCCGCGGUAAUACAGAGGGUGCAAGCGUUAAUCGGAAUUACUGGGCGUAAAGAGCACGUAGGUGGCUAAUUAAGUUGGGUGUGAAAGCCCCGGGCUCAACCUGGGAAGGUCAUUCAAAACUGGUUAGCUAGAGUAUGGUAGAGGGAAGUGGAAUUUCCGGUGUAGCGGUGAAAUGCGUAGAUAUCGGAAGGAACAUCAGUGGCGAAGGCGACUUCCUGGACUAAUACUGACACUGAGGUGCGAAAGCGUGGGGAGCAAACAGGAUUAGAAACCCGUGUAGUCC